CCAAUAGCGUAUAUUAAAGUUGUUGCAGUUAAAAAGCUCGUAGUUGAACUUCGGGACCGGUGGGUUGGUCGUGCCUCCGGUACGUACUGGUCUUACUGGUUCCUCCCUUCUGAAGAACCACGAUGUCAUUAAUUUGGUGUCGUGGGGAAUCAGGACUGUUACUUUGAAAAAAUUAGAGUGUUUAAAGCAGGCUAAAGCUUGAAUAGAUUAGCAUGGAAUAACGAAAUAGGACGUUUGAUCUUAUUUUGUUGGUUUCUAAGAUCGACGUAAUGAUUAAUAGGGAUAGUUGGGGGCAUUAGUAUUCAAUUGUCAGAGGUGAAAUUCUUGGAUUUAUUGAAGACUAACUACUGCGAAAGCAUUUGCCAAGGAUGUUUUCAUUAAUCAAGAACGAAAGUUAGGGGAUCGAAGACGAUCAGAUACCGUCGUAGUCUUAACCAUAAACUAUGCCGACUAGGGAUCGGAUGAUGUUAAUUUUUUAAUGACUCAUUCGGCACCUUACG
rnacentral:rRNA from 1 species